rnacentral:rRNA from 1 species
GAUGAACGCUGGCGGCGUGCCUAAUACAUGCAAGUCGAGCGAACGGACGAGAAGCUUGCUUCUCUGAUGUUAGCGGCGGACGGGUGAGUAACACGUGGAUAACCUACCUAUAAGACUGGGAUAACUUCGGGAAACCGGAGCUAAUACCGGAUAAUAUUUUGAACCGCAUGGUUCAAAAGUGAAAGACGGUCUUGCUGUCACUUAUAGAUGGAUCCGCGCUGCAUUAGCUAGUUGGUAAGGUAACGGCUUACCAAGGCAACGAUGCAUAGCCGACCUGAGAGGGUGAUCGGCGACACUGGAACUGAGACACGGUCCAGACUCCUACGGGAGGCAGCAGUAGGGAAUCUUCCGCAAUGGGCGAAAGCCUGACGGAGCAACGCCGCGUGAGUGAUGAAGGUCUUCGGAUCGUAAAACUCUGUUAUUAGGGAAGAACAUAUGUGGAAGUAACUGUGCACAUCUUGACGGUACCUAAUCAGAAAGCCACGGCUAACUACGUG